CCACAGUUAUACCCUGCUCUUGCAGAUGAAGCUGACUGAUUCAGAGCCAAAGAGCUCCGUGGUGUCUGACAGUCUGGGCCUUAACAGUGCAAGAUGCAGAUAGUCGCAUUUGUCUAAGGUGCUAAGUGACAAAGGAACUUUUUAACAGUGGAAGCCCGAGCUGAAAGGAAGAGUAAUAUGGGUUGUAUAUUGGCCCGAGGUUCACCUUAACACCAGUGGAAGUGAUUAGUGGGUGCUGCUCUGCCUAAAGAGGCUUUCCAUAAGAUCGGGGCCCUCGCGGUAUUCAAAUAAAAUAUUUAGAUUUGCAAAACUUCUGGAAGCCAGAUUUUAAGGGAAAAAAGAAGUUUUUUGUCAGAUUGUCAAUGUCUGAAUUUCAUCACAAUCUGUUCAGCUGUUUGUUGCAGGCAGGCGUAAAACAUAGUGGGCUUUCUGCUGCCGCGCAGCAAAACGAUGGAGCAGGUGGUGCUCGGCCAGUUUAUGACCACAAGGCCGGUCCAAGAGGAUGUAACUAUGGCCUGCCCUGCACCCAAAUC